rnacentral:rRNA from 1 species
UACGUAGGGUGCAAGCGUUGUCCGGAUUUAUUGGGCGUAAAGCGCGUGUAGGUGGCCAAGUAGGUCCGCUGUGAAAACUUGAGGCUCAACCUCAAGCUGUCGGUGGAAACCCCUUGGCUAGAGUCCGGAAGAGGAGAGUGGAAUUCCUGGUGUAGCGGUGAAAUGCGCAGAUAUCAGGAAGAACACCAAUGGCGAAGGCAGCUCUCUGGGACGGUACUGACACUGAGACGCGAAAGCGUGGGGAGCGAACAGG